UGUUCUCAGGGCGGGGUGAAACUCCCCACCGGCGGUAUCGGGCGAAGCCCGGAGCCCGCGAGCGCUUCCGGUUCUGCCGGAAGGUCAGCAGAUCCGGUGCGAUGCCGGAGCCGACGGUUACAGUCCGGAUGAAAGAGAAC
rnacentral:ncRNA from 1 species